GUUUAAAUAGGAAAAGUACAUUCGUGCAAAAAUUGAGAAGUGGUUAUAAACAAACAUUGUUUUAAGCUUGCAGAGUAACAUCACUUGCGGACACGGAUUCGGAAGAAGCGCUGCGACGCCAGAUUCCAUAAAUUUGACGUCUAUUGAUUCCUUCUUCGGAUCAGAAUGAUUGUAUUCCUGAAUUAAUUUAUAUUUAUGUAACACUGAACUGAAAAGAAAUAAGUAAAGAAGAACCCACGACUUUGUGUUUUCCAUUUAAUCAAAUAAACAUUUGGAGGAAAAAUACAUAAA